rnacentral:misc_RNA from 1 species
GAUGAAGAACGUAGCGAAAUGCGAUAAGUAAUGUGAAUUGCAGAAUUCAGUGAAUCAUCGAAUCUUUGAACGCACAUUGCGCCCGCCAGUAUUCUGGCGGGCAUGCCUGUUCGAGCGUCAUUUCAACCAUCAAGCCCCCGGCUUGUGUUGGGGACCUGCGGCUGCCGCAGGCCCUGAAAACCAGUGGCGGGCUCGCUAGUCACUCCGAGCGUAGUAGUUACAUCUCGCUCAGGGCGUGCUGCGGGUUCCGGCCGUUAAAAGCCUUAUUUACCCAAGGUUGACCUCGGAUCAGGUAGGAAGACCCGCUGAACUUAAGCAUAUCAAUAAGCGGAGGU